rnacentral:tRNA from 1 species
GGUCCCGUGGUGUAGUGGUUAAACAUGCCUGCCUGUCACGCAGGAGAUCGCCGGUUCGACCCCGGUCGGGACCGCCA